CAAAUUCCCACCAUAAUUCUCUGAAACUUGCUUCCCCUUGUCUAUUCUCAAAAAUUCCAGGAUCCUUGAAGCCCUUUUCUGCGCUAAUGUGCUACCCAAAAGCGUUAACUCAAGCAAUGAUGAUACAAUUCCUGCCUCAAUCAUGGCCUGUCUAUCCCCAUAGGCUUUGUGUGCCAUCACCAUCAAUAUGUAAGAUGCUUUCUCUUGGCAUACAGGUGAGUCGGUCCAAUUCAAAACAUCUAUCAAAAUAGGGAAAGCAUCUGGCAUUAUGCUAAUGGCCUUUCUACCUUCUGGAGUCGAUGCCACAUUGCUCAAAAUUGAAAGAAUUCUUUCACUAACUUCCAUGUCCCCCAGCCUAUUCAUAAGAAAUGGGAUCAAAUUUGUUUCCAAAAU
rnacentral:misc_RNA from 1 species